GCCAAGGCGACGAUCAGUAGCUGGUUCUGAGAGGAUGAUCAGCCACACUGGGACUGAGACACGGCCCAGACUCCUACGGGAGGCAGCAGUGGGGAAUAUUGGACAAUGGGCGCAAGCCUGAUCCAGCCAUCCCGCGUGAGUGAUGAAGGCCUUAGGCUUGUAAAGCUCUUUUAUCCGGGACGAUAAUGACGGUACCGGAGGAAUAAGCCCCGGCUAACUUCGUGCCAGCAGCCGCGGUAAUACGAAGGGGGCUAGCGUUGCUCGGAAUCACUGGGCGUAAAGGGCGCGUAGGCGGCGUUUUAAGUCGGGGGUGAAAGCCUGUGGCUCAACCACAGAAUNGCCUUCGAUACUGGGACGCUUGAGUAUGGUAGAGGUUGGUGGAACUGCGAGUGUAGAGGUGAAAUUCGUAGAUAUUCGCAAGAACACCGGUGGNGAAGGCGGCCAACUGGNCC
rnacentral:rRNA from 1 species